rnacentral:rRNA from 1 species
UACGUAGGGGGCGAGCGUUGUCCGGAUUCAUUGGGCGUAAAGCGCUUUAAGGCGGUUCGCUAAGUCGGGUGUGAAACCUCCAGGCUCAACCUGGAGACGCCACUCGAUACUGGCGUGACUAGAGUUCGGUAGGGGACCACGGAAUUCCUGGUGUAGCGGUGAAAUGCGCAGAUAUCAGGAGGAACGCCAGUGGCGAAGGCGGUGGUCUGGGCCGAUACUGACGCUGUAGAGCGAAAGCGUGGGGAGCGAACAGG